ACGUCAUUGCCCAGUUUAACCGCGGUCUCUACGAUUACAUCGUGGCCACCGACGAGGAGGGGACAGCGGAGCCACCCCGGCAGCGCCCGCACAGGGAGGGGACAGCCAGGAAGGGUGGCAGUGGCAGGGGACAGUCCCCAGGGUGUCCCCAGGACCCCGAGUUCAGCGCCUCCCGCGGCAUCGACUUCCAGAACGUCGCCGCCGUCGUCAACUUCGAUGUCCCCGGCUCGGUGGAGUGCUACAUCCACCGCGUGGGCAGGACAGCCCGUGGGGACAAGCCGGGCACGGCGCUGACGCUGGCACUGCCACACGAGCUGGAGAGGCUGCGGCACAUCGAGGACGCGCUGACCGGAGG